rnacentral:rRNA from 1 species
AGAGUUUGAUUCUGGCUCAGGAUGAACGCUAGCGACAGGCUUAACACAUGCAAGUCGAGGGCAUCACGGGAGUAGCAAUACAACUGGUGGCGACCGGCGCACGGGUGAGUAACGCGUAUGCAACCUACCUAUCAGAGGGGAAUAACCCGGCGAAAGUCGGACUAAUACCGCAUAAAACAGGGGCACCGCAUGGUGAUAUUUGUUAAAGAAAUUCGCUGAUAGAUGGGCAUGCGUUCCAUUAGGUAGUUGGUGAGGUAACGGCUCACCAAGCCGACGAUGGAUAGGGGAACUGAGAGGUUGGUCCCCCACACUGGUACUGAGACACGGACCAGACUCCUACGGGAGGCAGCAGUGAGGAAUAUUGGUCAAUGGGCGGGAGCCUGAACCAGCCAAGUCGCGUGAAAGGAAGAAGGAUCUAUGGUUCGUAAACUUCUUUUGCAGGGGAAUAAAGUGCAGGACGUGUCCUGUUUUGUAUGUACCCUGAGAAUAAGGAUCGGCUAACUCCGUGCCAGCCGCUGC